GGCAAUGGUGCAUAAGAACCCUGGUGGUGUUUGCUUUUCCUUGAUUGGGUCGACACAGACACAGAGGACUCCGCUUUGAUUCUGAAGCGAGACUGAGAUGCCCACCAGUCCGGUACUGUGCAGACCUGGGGAUGGGACGGACCAUACUCAAGAAGACCCCUGCCCAGUGCCAUGACCCACAAAUGGGGCACAGCACUCUUGGGACCACACCUGAGAUGACCCCAGACACUCAGAGAUCCCAGGCAAGCAGAAGAGCAAGAUGAAGACUGGCCCAGAAGCUAAACGGCUUGAUUAAUGUGGGAGAGCUACAGUGCCUUUAGCUUUUGUUCCUCUAGCUGGCAGACACAGUUGACGAGGCAUGCUGGGUGGAUAGCACACCUCUGAAAGAGCAAGCAUCCUGUGGCAGCGGAAUGGCAGCAG